AGGGAGGGACACUGUUAGAAACAUGGAUGAGACCACAUUGACUCAGACAAACGAGGCUUGGCAUUGACGCCAGUCUAGUGAAUAAACUUAAAAUUGUUGACACCCAACCAGACAAGAGGGAGGGGCAACGAUGAGUUGAGACACGAGGUGUGAACAUUUAAACUAUAUCGUGAUCGUUAAAUUAUAGAAAAAUAAACAUCUGUAGACCCUUUGGGCCGCAGAGAUGUAUUGCGGUUUUAAACCCAAUUUCCUUCAAUUCUACACAUUUUGUCACGCGGCUGAGAGAAGAUGUAAGUUAACGCUUAUUUCCUAAAAUUCUACACAUUUUGUCACGCGGCUUUAUACCGUGUUCUUAUGCUAUCUGAGUGACUAAACAUGCUAACAAAUAUCAAAUGGGGCACCAUGUCAUGGCUGCAAUUUUAGAAUCUCCCUGACUAGUUUAUAUUUUGGUAAUAGUUACUUCAUCUGAGAUAUUAUUCAAAUAAAAAAUAAGUUCAUAGUGAAAAUGUUUUACCACCCCCCCAAAAAAUAAAAAUAAAAUGUAAUCAUCGUAUUUGAGUGGUGGACCACCACAGCUAAAUUAAUAUAGGGGAAACAGAUGAUGAAAUGCAAUGUUUACAAGGAGGACUUCAUCUCUAGAACCAGUACAGAUGCAAUGCUUAACAAUCUGAAGGGGAGUGGGCAGCAGCGCAGGUCGCCAGACAGGCGGGGCCCGUCACACUAAAGGGGAGUGGGCAGCAGCGCAGGUCGCCAGACAGACGGGGCCCGUCACACUGAAGGGGAGUGGGCAGCAGCGCAGGUCGCCAGACAGACGGGGCCCGUCACACUAAAGGGGAGUGGGCAGCAGCGCAGGUCGCCAGACAGACGGGGCCCGUCACACUAAAGGGGAGUGGGCAGCAGCGCAGGUCGCCAGACAGACGGGGCCCGUCACACUAAAGGGGAGUGGGCAGCAGCGCAGGUCGCCAGACAGGCGGGGCCCGUCACACUAAAGGGGAGUGGGCAGCAGCGCAGGUCGCCAGACAGGCGGGGCCCGUCACACUAAAGGGGAGUGGGCAGCAGCGCAGGUCGCCAGACAGACGGGGCCCGUCACACUAAAGGGGAGUGGGCAGCAGCGCAGGUCGCCAGACAGACGGGGCCCGUCACACUAAAGGGGAGUGGGCAGCAGCGCAGGUCGCCAGACAGACGGGGCCCGUCACACUAAAGGGGAGUGGGCAGCAGCGCAGGUCGCCAGACAGGCGGGGCCCGUCACACUAAAGGGGAGUGGGCAGCAGCGCAGGUCGCCAGACAGGCGGGGCCCGUCACACUAAAGGGGAGUGGGCAGCAGCGCAGGUCGCCAGACAGACGGGGCCCGUCACACUAAAGGGGAGUGGGCAGCAGCGCAGGUCGCCAGACAGACGGGGCCCGUCACACUAAAGGGGAGUGGGCAGCAGCGCAGGUCGCCAGACAGACGGGGCCCGUCACACUAAAGGGUAACACAAUCACAACGCCGAUUACAGAAAUGACUGCAUUUGAUAUGCAGCCAUUGUCAAAAUGGUAGACGCCCGUUUCAAUACCCUAAAGGCAUACCUAGAACCACACUAUAAGACCCCACGUUGAAAAACCAUGACGGCCUGGGACGGAGAAACUAUUGCUCUGCAUGUACAAAGCGCCAGAUUUCCAACACCAUGUGUUGUGUUAACAGGUUGGAUAUCUAUGACCACGCCGUCAUACAGCGCUGCUAGCAGCCAUCACAUUGAUGAGAAGUGGGACACGAAGACGCUUGUACUGACCACAUGGAGUAGAGGCACACAGCAGAGAACCUAAAACAGUAGCCAGGAGUGCAGUAGAUUGAACUACAUCGCCCCCUGGCGGUCAUAAGCAGGACCAUAUCUGCAUUGUGAAUUCAUUAUAGGAUUCCUUGAUAUUGUUUCAACAGCCAUUUAUUUUUUUUAAUGGCUGUUUAAAACAUUAAGAAAAAUGUUGUCACAUCCUUAGUUGGAGGACCGCGGGCCGUAUGGGGACGACCUGGCUCCUUCUGAUAUUUCUGAAUGUUUCUGCUACCACCACC